AUACGGAGGGUGCAAAUGUUGUUCGGAAUCACUGGGCGUAAAGGGCGCGCAGGCGGUUUGAUUAGUCAGAUGUGAAAGCCCACGGCUUAACCGUGGAAGUGCAUUUGAAACUGUCAGACUUGAGUACCAGAGGGGGUAGUGGAAUUCCCGGUGUAGAGGUGAAAUUCGUAGAUAUCGGGAGGAAUACCGGUGGCGAAGGCGACUACCUGGCUGGAUACUGACGCUGAGGCGCGAAAGCGUGGGGAGCAAACAGGAUUAGAAACCCGAGUAGUCC
rnacentral:rRNA from 1 species